UUGUUUCACAAAAAGAGUAAAUGAGUAAAUGAUUUAUUUUUGACUUAGAAAUUUUCCUUCAGUGUGGUUGUGAUUUAUUGUUGAUUUGCACCAAAAAAAUAAGUAAAUGAUUUAUUUUUGACUUAGAAAAUGGGAAUCCAAUAUAUGGAACUUAGACUGGACAACACUUUCACUAGUGUGUUUUCUAUAUAUUCCUGAAAGCUGAGUUUUUGACAGGAGAAGAGAAAUUUAUUGUUACUUCUGGAUUUUAUAUGUGAAACCUCCUUCCAAAUUAAAUAUAUCAACUUCUCUACUCUGUUGGUUAUACCUUUUGCACCAAAUUCUCUACUCUGUUGUUGAAAUUUGAAUUGAUGCAGCUUGUUUAUGUUUUGCAAAC
rnacentral:lncRNA from 1 species